GAGGGGGAGUCACAGGUUUGGGGUCUCCACACGUACCUGCGGGUUUGGGAUGUGUGGGGUCGGUGCUGGGGGCUCCUGUGAGCCCUGGGGUGGAUCCCGGUGUCCCUGGGUGGAUCCCAAUGUCCAUCCCUCAUCCCUGGUGUCCAUCCCUCAUUCCCUGGGUGAUUCCCGGUGUCCCUGGGUGGAUCCCAGCGUCCAUCUCUCAUUCCCGGUGUCCAUCCCUCAUUCCCUGGGUGAUUCCCGGUGUCCCUGGGUGGAUCCCGCUGUCCCUGGGAUGAUUCCCAGUGUCCAUCCCUCAUCCCUGGGGUGGAUCCCGGUGUCCCUGGGUGAAUCC